CUGUAACCUGUUACAAGAUAAUUAUGACCUACUGUGUAAGAGCCUAAUACUGGACAAAUCCCUAUACGCUCAGCUUCUUAACAGGUGUGACUUCAAUAUGACCAUGAUCAAUCAUAUCAAGACAAGGCGGGUGUUUGCCAAGAAGGUUCAGAAGUUACUAGACUUUUUGAAGGAGAAGAUCCAAGUGAACACGGACACCAUGAGGAACUUCUGUGUGUGUUUACAGAACAUUGGACAAGGGCCCCUCUCCACACACUUCAACGUCAUAAUCAAGAGGGCCUUAGAAAAGAGGAUAAGAGCAGCUAAUUCGUCAUUAAGGAAUAUGCCUGGAGUAUUCAUUACAAAUCCUUAUGAUGACACCUUUAGGAGAAUCAAACAGGCCAAAUGCCAGCCAGUGCACAGACCAGCC